rnacentral:misc_RNA from 1 species
GAUGAAGAACGGAGCGAAAUGCGAUAAGUAAUGCGAAUUGCAGAAUUCAGCGAGUCAUCGAAUCUUUGAACGCACAUUGCGCCCCUUGGUAUCCCGAGGGGCAUGCCUGUUCGAGCGUCAUUUCACCACUCAAGCCUGGCUUGGUGUUGGGCGACGUCCCCUUUAGGGACGCGCCUCGAAACGCUCGGCGGCGUGGCACCGGCUUUAAGCGUAGCAGAAUCUUUCGCUUUGGAAGUCGGGGCCCCGCCUGCCGGAAUACCUACUCGUAAGGUUGACCUCGGAUCAGGAAGGGAUACCCGCUGAACUUAAGCAUAUCAAUAAGCGGAGGA